rfam:Camelus ferus unplaced genomic scaffold scaffold2476, whole genome shotgun sequence.
GAGGGUAUAGCUCAGCAGUAGAGAGCAUGCCUAGCAUGCACAAGGUCCUGGGUUCAAUCCCCAGAACCCCCA